CAGUGACAGCUCGGCGAAGAAGCACACCCAACGACCUCGCAACAUGAAGCUUACGAUCCUGCUCUGCCUGGUGGCGUUGGCCGCCGCAGAUGGAGGCUGGCAAGGAAAGCAUAAUGCAGCCUACGGAGGUCUGUUCGGUCUUUCCAGAAGAUACAACAACUACGGUCCUUAUCGCGGAAGCUUUGGCUAUUCAAACUCGUACUCCGGUGUCAGAAGCCGGUGCCCGUACGGUGGUCCCCGCAUUGGUGGUUACAACUAUUGCCCCUGCGGUGGUUACAAAGCUGUGGGAGCCUAUUACAGCCUCAGGAGUGCCAUCGGACGCUGCCCUCGCAAACAUCACUGAUGAUAUGCCUACCUACUUACGGACAUAACGUCUACCCAGUUCGCUUAUUCGGAUUCGACAACGGCAUGAACAUUUCCAGAACUGUCACUGAGUUAUCUAUAUCAAUACCAAAACCCUGCCUGAUCAGCAGUGGUGUCAAGCGACAUGAAUAUUCCUGUUGUCCAUGUAUUGUACGACUGCUUCAAAUAAACGCAACAGGUGAUCUGCAUA